rnacentral:sRNA from 1 species
CCGUUUUCCUUCCCCUUACCUUCUGGCAAUGCAAGUUUCACUGCAUUAGCUUGUGUU